rnacentral:rRNA from 1 species
GACGAACGCUGGCGGCGUGCCUAAUACAUGCAAGUCGAACGGUCAGGGUGGAGGUUUCUUCUCUUGAUGAGUUGCGAACGCGUGAGUAAAACGUAGGUAAAACGCCUGGUAGCGGGGGAGAACUAUUGGGAAAACUGGCUAAAACCCCAUAAUAGCAGUUGUUGCAUGUCAAAUUUUGGAAAGGUGCAACUGAAUCACUAACAGAUGGACCUGCGUUGUAUUAGCUAGUUGGUGGGGUAAAGGAUCACCAAGGCGACGAGACAUAGCCGACCUGCGAGGGUGAACGGCCACACUGGGACUGAGACACGGCCCAGACUCCUACGGGAGGCAGCAGUAGGGAAUCUUCGGCAAUGGACGGAAGUCUGACCGAGCGACGCCGCGUGAGUGAAGAAGGCUUUCGGAUCGUAAAGCUCUGUUGUAAGGGAAGAACGAGUGUGGGAGUAGAAAGUUCACGCUGUGACGGUAUCUUACCAGAAAGGCACGGCUAACUACGUG